AUGACCAACGUGCAGCAAAAAGACACCAUGCCAGAGAAAAUGGAAGUCAAUUCCAAGGUUGUUGAUCCUCCAAUGAACUUUAACCUACGUUCACUGGAGGAACAAGUACGGGUUGAGCUUAAGGACAGCCGGGCAAAGCUCACCCAAACCAAAUCUGUGGGGAGAGUUCUCCAGAUCGACGAGGACAGAUUGCAACAGUUCCUCGAUCUUCUCCAAGAACAUAAGAAUGGAGAUGUACACAAGGAGAUGUGUAGCCUGAAAGCACAGCUAAAACAGGCCAGAAGCAAGAUCCCAACUUCUCUGGAUGGUGCUGAGAAACCGACAUCCAUUAUCAAGAUGCAGCCCGUACAGUUGCAGAUAAAGGGAGAAAAAGAGUCCAUUGAAUUGGAAAGUCAACUGGAAAUUGAGAGGACUCAAACAAAGGAGCUAUGCAUUCAAUUGACAACAUUGACAGAAGCUCUCAAAAACCAGGAUGAGGCAGCAAUCGCAAUAAAGGAGAGAUUCCAGGACUUCGAUGACAUCCAGAUCACCAAUUGGAAACUGGAGGCAAACAGGAUGGCUGCGGCCCUGAAAGCAGCAGAGAACCAACUCCAAUCUGAGAGGAUGAAGGUAGACAAAGAGGCCCUUCAAAAUGACCCGUACGCUAAGACCUGUGCUGCAAUGAAAUCGUUUACAGCAGCUAAAACUAACCUGAAGUUGAAAAAUGACCUGGAAAUUGAGAGGGCUCAAACAAAGAAGCAGCACAUGGAACUGACAAAGUUGUCAGAAGCUGCAUUAAAAAAGAUGACGGAAGAUUUCAAGGCUUUUCAUAUGGACAGAAUGAGGCAACAGAGAGCGGAAACAGAGAAGAUGGCAGCUGCCCUGAAAUUAGCACUGGGUGAGAACGUCCCCACUCAGCAGGUGACGACCAAGCAGAAUGAGAUGGAGCUGCACAAGGACUGCAAACGUAAUCAGGCCAAACAGACGAAGGCUAUCAUAGAGCUCACAGCUGCUCUGAAGAAGUCUGAGCAGGACCAGAAGAAUGCACAUCAUCAGUGGCAGCAGGAGAAGUCUUCCCUGACCUGCCAGCUAGAAAAAGAGAAAGUUGAGACCAUCAAGAACACGGAAGUUACCGAUAGUCUGUUG
ensembl:lncRNA